rnacentral:lncRNA from 1 species
UUCUACUAUCAUUUAUUUCUGAAAGAAAAAUAACAUUGCUUUUGUAUUAUAACAAGUAACUGUUGGCUUAAAAGGACUAGUAUCUUAUUCUGUAGCAGGAGGUUAAAUUGAACCAAGUCAUAUUCGAAGUGGCAUAAGAAUAGUUGCGUCAAGUUAUAAUCGAAAUAUAUAGACAAAAGCUUAAAAUCUCAUUUCGAUAUAACAAAUAUGGAUAAUUACCUAUAUAUCCCUCAUACAUUUGAAAAUAUCCAAUUUACCCCUACUUUUUUUUCUUUUUAAAAUAUCUCUCAUAUGUUCCACUAUUAUUGCAAAAUACUCCCGCAGUUAUCUCAUGUUAAGUUAACCUGGGUUAAACGUGAGUUAAAUAUCUACCACAGUUAAAAAAAAUUAAAAUGCCAGUUUUACUCUUAACUUAAGGGCAAAUAAGAAAUGUUGGUGACGGUAAAGAGGUAUAUUGGAAAAGACCAAAAGUCAAAAUACUUUUUGUGUCCCUGAUUUUAGGGAUAAAUAAGAAAGUCAGUGAUAGUGGAAGAGUAUAUUUGAAAGGGCAAAAUAAUAAUUUUACAGAGUUAACAGAGUUAAUUAACAGAUUUUAACUCUAGGGGUAUAUUAGAAAUAGGUUGGAACGUAAAAAAGGUAUUUUCAAUAUUAACCUUCUAAGAGGGAUAAAUUAAAAAGUUAGAAAUUUUUUAAGGGUAUAUAAGCAAUUGCCCCUAAAAAAUAUAUUGAUCUUGCUGCAGAGUAUAGCAUUAUCUAUUUU